AUUAUUUAGUUGAAAAUCAGCUAAUUUAAGGCCUAAUUAUACUUAGGGCGCGUUUGGUUCGAGUUAUGUAAAUUACAGAGUAUCUCGAUAUAUCCAGAUAUUUUGAAUUUCGGCGUGAAAUUACUACUGAUGCUUCAUUAGUGCGUUUGGUUUAAUGCAAUAAUAUAAUACUGGAUUGCAGUAUUUAUAGCAUUAUUACGUUUAGUUCAAUCUAUAAAAUUUAAUAAUCCUAACAUAAAAAUAUAGUUUUUAACAAAAUUGCUCUUGUUGUAGUCAUUUGAAUAUUAUUUUUUACUAAAAUAUAAUUUGCACUAAUAAAUUAAUUAUAUUAAUAAGUAAUAAAAUAAAAAGAUCAAACAUAAAAAAAAUUAACGUUGCAAAAAAUUUAUUUCAACCCAUAAAAUAAUAAAUAAAAAAAUAUCAUUAUACAUAAUGAAGAAGUGAUUAAAAAUGUAUGCGGAAAUGGCAAAUGGAGGGAAGGAGAUUGUGAUGUGGGAGGGCAACGCAAUAGAAGAUGAUAGGUGUUCGUGAGAGAGAGAUAAAAAUAAUGUUGUUAAUUGGGUUUGGGGUUGUUGGAGGGUAAAAUUAUUAUUUUACAUAAUAUGUAGUAUUACCGGUUUUCAGAAAUGCAAGAUACACGAUCCCCCUCCCGUUAAUAUUUUCGGUAUAAUUGUGCUUGAUUUGUAAUACUACAUUAACAACUAAAUUACAUAGCGAAUAAACCAAACACAGUAAUACGCACCCUUAAGUAGAUGUCAAAUAU
rnacentral:lncRNA from 1 species